rnacentral:rRNA from 1 species
UACGAAGGGGGCUAGCGUUGCUCGGAAUCACUGGGCGUAAAGCGCACGUAGGCGGGUCGUUAAGUCGGGGGUGAAAUCCUGGAGCUCAACUCCAGAACUGCCUUCGAUACUGGCGAUCUUGAGUCUGGGAGAGGUGAGUGGAACUCCGAGUGUAGAGGUGAAAUUCGUAGAUAUUCGGAAGAACACCAGUGGCGAAGGCGGCUCACUGGCCCGGUACUGACGCUGAGGUGCGAAAAGCGUGGGGAGCAAACAGG